AUACCUUUCUCGGCCUUUUGGCUAAGAUUAAGUGUAGUAUCUGUUCUUAUCAGUUUAAUACCUGAUAUGUGAGUUAUCAACUCACACGAUAUUAACUCUAUUUUUUAAGGGAGAAGGUCUAUCAUGGUAGCUUGCUAUCAGGACCUUCCAAGAGUCGCCUUGCUGUUGCACUACUUCUUUAGCUUGGCUCAGCCCAC